AGAUUGAACGCUGGCGGCAGGCCUAACACAUGCAAGUCGAGCGGCAGCACGGGUACUUGUACCUGGUGGCGAGCGGCGGACGGGUGAGUAAUGCCUAGGAAUCUGCCUGAUAGUGGGGGAUAACGUUCGGAAACGGACGCUAAUACCGCAUACGUCCUACGGGAGAAAGUGGGGGAUCUUCGGACCUCACGCUAUCAGAUGAGCCUAGGUCGGAUUAGCUAGUUGGUAGGGUAAAGGCCUACCAAGGCGACGACGGGUAGCCGACCUGAGAGGGUGACCGGCCACACUGGGACUGAGACACGGCCCAGACUCCUACGGAGGCAGCAGUGGGAAUAGUUGCACGAAUGGGACGAAAGGCCUGAUGCAGCGACGCCGCGUGAGGAUGAAGGCCUUCGGGUUCGUAAACCGUCUUUCGAGCGAGGACGAAGCGCGAAGUGACGUACC
rnacentral:rRNA from 1 species